CGUAGGGUGCGAGCGUUAAUCGGAAUUACUGGGCGUAAAGCGUGCGCAGGCGGUUUUGUAAGACAGAUGUGAAAUCCCCGGGCUCAACCUGGGACCUGCAUUUGUGACUGCAAGGCUAGAGUACGGUAGAGGGGGAUGGAAUUCCGCGUGUAGCAGUGAAAUGCGUAGAUAUGCGGAGGAACACCGAUGGCGAAGGCAAUCCCCUGGACCUGUACUGACGCUCAUGCACGAAAGCGUGGGGAGCAAACAGGAUUAGAUACCCUGGUAGUCCACACCCUAAACGAUGUCAACUGGUUGUUGGGUCUUUACUGACUCAGUAACGAAGCUAACGCGUGAAGUUGACCGCCUGGGGAGUACGGCCGCAAGGUUG
rnacentral:rRNA from 1 species